AAAGUUUCAGAUCCAAAGAACAUAUUAUGACGUAUAUCUAUAUCUACGUAAUAAUAAUUGUUUAACUUAUUUACAAGUUUGUCACUGCGUUCCAUAUCAUGACUGAUAUAAAAAAUUACGUCAUAAUAUGUUUUACUAAUAUUACGAUUUUGCCACCGGUCAAUCUAUUAUGACGGAUAUUUUUUGUACGUCAUAAUAAC
rnacentral:lncRNA from 1 species